rnacentral:lncRNA from 1 species
UACACACGUAAAAACACACAAGUUGUAACAAACCUGCAGCAGACUUGUAGCAAUGCUGUUCCAACAACUUGUCAACAGGAUGUGUUCGCACUGCUUGUUCCCAGCUUGUUGACAACUUGCUACAAGGUUGUUGAGCUCAACAGACUUGUUGCAAGUUGUUCCAACAACUUGUUAUCGUCCUGCAAUUCAACAAUUUUUCAACAAGUUGCGAGUGACAACCUUGUAGCAACUUGAUGAAAUAACAACAUUGUUACAACUUGU